GAUGAACGCUGGCGGCGUGCCUAAUACAUGCAAGUCGAGCGAACAGACGAUGAGCUUGCUCCUCUGACGUUAUCGGCUGACGUGUGAUUAACACGUGUAUAACCUACCUAUAAGACUGGGAUAACUUCGGGAAACCGGAGCUAAUACCGGAUAAUAUAUUGAACCGCAUGGUUCAAUAGUUAAAUACGGUUUUGCUUUCACUUAUAGAUGGAUCCGCGCCGCAUUAGCUAGUUGGUAAGGUAACGGCUUACCAAGGCAACGAUGCGUAGCCGACCUGAGAGGGUGAUCGGCCACACUGGAACUGAGACACGGUCCAGACUCCUACGGGAGGCAGCAGUAGGGAAUAUUCCGCAAUGGGCGAAAGCCUGACGGAGCAACGCCGCGUGAGUGAUGAAGGUCUUCGGAUCGUAAAACUCUGUUAUUAGGGAAGAACAAAUGUGUAAGUAACUAUGCACGUAUUGACGGUAACUAAUCAGAAAGCCACGGCUAACUACGUG
rnacentral:rRNA from 1 species